CUGCAUAUGCGUCUUGCCAUACUAUAAGGAAUGUUUCUUUUUAUGUGGGAUGGAUGGCAAGAGUAGAAAUUUAAAUAUUGGUAUGUGUCGGUUUUUUGUAGUAGAUGUCUGUUGUGACGAUGGAGUUGUGUAUCUUGAUGUUGAUGUCUAGGAAGGGAAGUUCGUUGUGGCUGGUAUCUAUUGUGAAAUUGAUAAAUGGGUGCAGUGUGUUGAGGAUGUUGUGAAAUGUUCAUAGAUCUUCUUCUGAUCUAUUCCAAAAGAUGAAACAGUCAUCGAAGUAAUGUUUCCACUUUUUCUUGAUGUCUUCU